CCCUUAGAUGUUCUGGGCUGCACACGCGCUACACUGAAGCUAUCAACACGUUUUCCCUCCCUGAGAAGGGCGGGUAACCUUUUGAAUCAGCUUCGUGGUAGGGAUCGGGGCUUGCAAUUGUUCCCCGUGAACCAGGGAUUCCUAGUAGACGCGAGUCAUAAGCUCGCAUCGAUUAAGUCCCUGCCCUUUGUACACACCGCCCGUCGCUACUACCGAUUGAACGUUUUAGUGAGGCAUUUGGACCGACGCAUCUCAGUUUAACCGCUGGUUUGUGUUGGAAAGACUUCCAAACUUGAGCGUUUAGAGGAAGUAAAAGUCGUAACA
rnacentral:rRNA from 1 species